GUGGGGAAUUUUGGACAAUGGGCGCAAGCCUGAUCCAGCAAUGCCGCGUGUGUGAAGAAGGCCUUCGGGUUGUAAAGCACUUUUGGCAGGAAAGAAAUAGUGCGUGCUAAUACCAUGCGCGAAUGACGGUACCUGCAGAAUAAGCACCGGCUAACUACGUGCCAGCAGCCGCGGUAAGACGUAGGGUGCAAGCGUUAAUCGGAAUUACUGGGCGUAAAGCGUGCGCAGGCGGUUUUGUAAGACAGGUGUGAAAUCCCCGGGCUCAACCUGGGAACUGCACUUGUGACUGCAAGGCUAGAGUGUGUCAGAGGGAGGUGGAAUUCCACGUGUAGCAGUGAAAUGCGUAGAGAUGCGGAGGAACACCGAUGGCGAAGGCAGCCUCCUGGGAUAACACUGACGCUCAGGCACGAAAGCGUGGGGAGCAAACAGGAUUAGAAACCCUGGUAGUCC
rnacentral:rRNA from 1 species